AGUGAACGCUGGCGGUAGGCCUAACACAUGCAAGUCGAACGGCAGCACAGUAAGAGCUUGCUCUUACGGGUGGCGAGUGGCGGACGGGUGAGGAAUACAUCGGAAUCUACUUUUUCGUGGGGGAGAACGUAGGGAAACUUACGCUAAUACCGCAUACGACCUACGGGUGAAAGCAGGGGAUCUUCGGACCUUGCGCGAUUGAAUGAGCCGAUGUCGGAUUAGCUGGUUGGCGGGGUAAAGGCCCACCAAGGCGACGAUCCGUAGCUGGUCUGAGAGGAUGAUCAGCCACACUGGAACUGAGCCACGGUCCUGACUCCUACGGGCGGCAGCAGUGGGGAAUAUUGGCCAAUGGGCGCAAGCCUGAUCCAGCCAUACCGCCUUGGUGCAGAAGGCCUUCGUGUUGUAAAGCCCUUUUGUUGGGAAAGACAAGCAGCAGGUUAAUACCCCGCUGUUCUGACGGUACCCAAAGAAUAAGCACCGGCUAACUUCGUG
rnacentral:rRNA from 1 species